CAAUAGCGUAUAUUUAAGUUGUUGCAGUUAAAAAGCUCGUAGUUGGAUUUCGGAUGGGACUUGCCGGUCCGUCGUUUCGACGUGCACUGGCCAGUCCUAUCUUGUUGUCGGGGACUAGCUCCUGGGCUUCACUGUCCGGGACUAGGAGCUGACGAGGUUACUUUGAGUAAAUUAGAGUGUUCAAAGCAAGCCUACGCUCUGAAUACAUUAGCAUGGAAUAACACGAUAGGACUCUGGCUUAUCUUGUUGGUCUGUGAGACCAGAGUAAUGAUUAAGAGGGACAGUCGGGGACAUUCGUAUUUCAUUGUCAGAGGUGAAAUUCUUGGAUUUAUGAAAGACGAACUUCUGCGAAAGCAUUUGUCAAGGAUGUUUUCAUUAA
rnacentral:rRNA from 1 species